rnacentral:rRNA from 1 species
GAGCGGCGAACGGGUGAGUAACACGUGAGCAACCUGCCCUAGGCUUUGGGAUAACCCUCGGAAACGGGGGCUAAUACCGAAUAUUACUUCUGGUCGCAUGACUGGGGGUGGAAAGUUUUUCGGCCUGGGAUGGGCUCGCGGCCUAUCAGCUUGUUGGUGGGGUAAUGGCCUACCAAGGCGACGACGGGUAGCCGGCCUGAGAGGGCGACCGGCCACACUGGGACUGAGACACGGCCCAGACUCCUACGGGAGGCAGCAGUGGGGAAUAUUGCACAAUGGGCGGAAGCCUGAUGCAGCGACGCCGCGUGAGGGAUGACGGCCUUCGGGUUGUAAACCUCUUUCAGCAGGGACGAAGCGCAAGUGACGGUACCUGCAGAAGAAGCGCCGGCCAACUACGUGCCAGCAGCCGCGGUAAGACGUAGGGCGCGAGCGUUGUCCGGAUUUAUUGGGCGUAAAGAGCUCGUAGGCGGCUUGUCGCGUCGACUGUGAAAACCCGCGGCUCAACCGCGGGCCUGCAGUNCGAUACGGGCAGGCUAGAGUUUCGGUAGGGGAGACUGGAAUUCCU